UGUGUGUGUCUGUGUGUGUGUGUGUGUGCGUGCGUGUGUGUGUGUGUGUGUGUGUGUGUGUGUUUUUUGUGUCUGUGUGUCUGUGUGUGUGUUUGUGUGUGUGACUCCCGAGCAGUGAAUGUUAUCCACGCUGGCAUCAUCAACAGACAGGCAUCGCUACCUGGCAGACAGGAGAGCAGUCAUAUCACUGCGGUCAUCACCCAAUCACAGCUCCAGAACCAGAGGCGCGGGGACACGCAGGGUUCUGGGAUCGUUUGGACGUGUGAAGAUAAACACACGCGGAGAAUCAGUGACAGACGUCCGUUCAACCACGACUCGCCGCUCAACCGGCUACUGAUGCAGUUAAUGCCUAAUGAGGAAUACACACUCGCGAUUAACAGGCCGGUUACUGACUGACCAGGAGCCGCGGACACACGGACCUGUGAGAGAACAUUUAUCAUUACAUCUAAAAUGUGGUGUUCACCUCCGCAUGGGCCGAGAGGGAAGAGCACCUCCCGCUUCAAUCUGUGUUCACUCCGUCGUCUUAGUCGACAUCACAGAAGGUGAAGAGCAUGAACACUGAUGUACAGUGAACUUGACUCGAUACGUUGAUGCUCCCAGAGUCCAGGACAAACAGGACGAGACAGACUCCCCGAGUCCUACACAGAACAGUAGUAGAGUUUAACAUGCGGGGAAAAAGUCUUUUAAACCUUAUUUUGGGGCAAAACCACAGAAUUAUUGAAACCGUUUUGAUCCGAUACGACUGGUGACUGUAGUGCCUAAGGUACGACACGCCCCCAACCAAUCCAGACAGUGAGAGAACUUCCUACACGCGCUGUCGACCAAUCACGACCGAGUGGAGCCAGCUGGCCAAUCAGAGCAGCUCUGGGCUUGAUCGGGAGGGAGGGGCCUUAAAGAGACAGGAGUGUUGUGAAAGAGCAGCUGCAGGAAACUGAUGUGUUCACUGAACAUUAGAGCUUGAAAACCUUUUACAGUCAUAACACACAUUAAUAUUACGGACCUGAAUAUGAGCAGAAUAUUUCUCCCUUAGUAGACGUUCUCCUCACAGUUGCAGUUGUCCGUGUCAUCACUCCCGUUCCCACGGUGACUGACUCUUUGUGAGCAGCAGGUCUCCGCUCCCCGGCCUCAUUCCAUCUUCUCUUGUCAGGAAGCAUCAGCGACGGGCGAGACGGAGGCCGACGCCCGGAGGACGGCCCCGGGCCCGGUCCGUCCACACACACACACACACACACACACACACACACACCUGUCCCGUCAGUCAGAGCCUGGGGGUCGAGGGGCGGUGGCCUGGGGGCGGAGAGGGAGGGUCAGUGGGAAGAGAAGUCUGAUCUCAUGACGCCUGAUGUUCCAUCAGUUCUCAUCGCUGCUGCUGCUGCACGACGCCUUUAAUCAUCUCGUCUGAAUGAUGCAGGUCCAAGAUCCAUCAGCAACAACUAGACUUCAUCAACAUCAGUUUGUCUUUUCUGUUUUAACUUUAAUUGAAUCGUUCUAAUGAGGGGAGAACAUGCUGCUCAUCUGUCCAAAGAAUUAGUCGCUCGACCGAUGUUUAUGAUUAAUCGAUCAGUUGUUUGGUUCAUAAAACGGUGAAAAAUCUUGAUCGUGUUUCCGCAUAAACCUCCAGAUGAUGUUUGUUUUGUCCACAAACCAAAGAUCUUCAGUUCACUGUCACAGAGGAGCAAAGACACCAGAACAUAUUCACAUUUAAGAAGCUGAAAUCAGAGGAUUUUCACUUAAUUCUUUCCAUAAAAACUACUUGAACCGAUUAAUGGAUUAUCAAAAUAUCAGUAAAUCAUUUCGUAGUCAAUGACUAAUCCAUUAACUGUUGCAUCUCUAGUUUGUAAUAAAAAAACGAGACACUUUGAAGAUGUCA